CGAGCGGACAGAAGGGAGCUUGCUCCCGGAUGUUAGCGGCGGACGGGUGAGUAACACGUGGGUAACCUGCCUGUAAGACUGGGAUAACUCCGGGAAACCGGAGCUAAUACCGGAUAGUUCCUUGAACCGCAUGGUUCAAGGAUGAAAGACGGUUUCGGCUGUCACUUACAGAUGGACCCGCGGCGCAUUAGCUAGUUGGUGGGGUAAUGGCUCACCAAGGCGACGAUGCGUAGCCGACCUGAGAGGGUGAUCGGCCACACUGGGACUGAGACACGGCCCAGACUCCUACGGGAGGCAGCAGUAGGGAAUCUUCCGCAAUGGACGAAAGUCUGACGGAGCAACGCCGCGUGAGUGAUGAAGGUUUUCGGAUCGUAAAGCUCUGUUGUUAGGGAAGAACAAGUGCGAGAGUAACUGCUCGCACCUUGACGGUACCUAACCAGAAAGCCACGGCUAACUACGUGCCAGCAGCCGCGGUAAUACGUAGGUGGCAAGCGUUGUCCGGAAUUAUUGGGCGUAAAGGGCUCGCAGGCGGUUUCUUAAGUCUGAUGUGAAAGCCCCCGGCUCAACCGGGGAGGGUCAUUGGAAACUGGGAAACUUGAGUGCAGAAGAGGAGAGUGGAAUUCCACGUGUAGCGGUGAAAUGCGUAGAGAUGUGGAGGAACACCAGUGGCGAAGGCGACUCUCUGGUCUGUAACUGACGCUGAGGAGCGAAAGCGUGGGGAGCGAACAGGAUUAGAUACCCUGGUAGUCCACGCCGUAAACGAUGAGUGCUAAGUGUUAGGGGGUUUCCGCCCCUUAGUGCUGCAGCUAACGCAUUAAGCACUCCGCCUGGGGAGUACGGUCGCAAGACUGAAACUCAAAGGAAUUGACGGGGGCCCGCACAAGCGGUGGAGCAUGUGGUUUAAUUUCGAAGCAACGCGAAGAACCUUACCAGGUCUUGACAUCCUCUGACAACCCUAGAGAUAGGGCUUUCCCUUCGGGG
rnacentral:rRNA from 1 species